CCCUUAGAUGUUCUGGGCCGCACGCGCGCUACACUGAUGCGUUCAACGAGUUUAGAACCUUGACUGAUAGGUCUGGGUAAUCUUUUGAAUGCGCAUCGUGCUAGGGAUAGAUUAUUGCAAUUAUUAAUCUUGAACGAGGAAUUCCUAGUAAACGCAAGUCAUCAGCUUGCAUUGAUUACGUCCCUGCCCUUUGUACACACCGCCCGUCGCACCUACCGAUUGAAUGGUCCGGUGAAAUCUUGGGAUUUUGUUUUGUUUGCAUUUAUUUGUAUCGAGACGAGAGAACUUGAGUAAACCUUACCAUUUAGAGGAAGGUGAAGUCGUAACA
rnacentral:rRNA from 1 species